rnacentral:rRNA from 1 species
GCUUACGGCCACACCACCCUGAGCGCGCCCAUCUCGUCUGAUCUCGGAAGCUAAGCAGGGUCGGGCCUGGUUAGUACUUGGAUGGGAGACCGCCUGGGAAUACCAGGUGCCGUAAGCU